GCCCAGGCUCUUGUGGAAGGCACUGGAUGAAAGGAUGUUUGAGCCAGAAAGAACAUUAAGGAUUUCACAGUCCAAUCCCUCCUUUUUCCAGAUGGGGAAACUGAGGCUGAGAGGAGGGACGUUUCAGACUCAAAAAGCGUAAGGAGCAGAGCAUCAGUGUUUUACAGUGGAGCUGGCUUCUCCCACCGCCCGGCUUCCCAUCCUUUUGACACACUAGUUUGGGGUGAAAAUGAUGUUCCCUAAGAAGUGCAGCGAGUUCAGCCGACGCCUGGGCCACACCUGCGCCUGUCUUCAGACAGCCACCGUAGCUCAAGGCUGGGGUUAACGAGAUGGGCUGCUCCUGCCCUUCCUCACGGCAACCCUGGGUGAGGCUGGCUGUUUGCUUCUCCCUGAGAGUGCAGGUGGCGGGGGCCGUCGCAGCGUGGCUGCCAUCGACCCACCCUUCCUCCUGCACGGCAGGACGACGUCAGCGCGGAGAAACAGGCAGAGCAUCUCAGGAUUAGUAUGAAAACAGCUGUGACCUCAAGGACCUCCUGAAGCGUUUUGGGGCUCCUUAAGGGUUCAAGGACCACAACUUGAGAGGCGCUGAUCUAUGUUUUUGUAGAUGAUGGUUAAUCUUGCUAUGAAAU